CCUACGGGAGGCAGCAGUGGGGGAUAUUGCACAAUGGGGGGAACCCUGAUGCAGCGACGCCGCGUGGGUGAAGGAGCGUUUCGGCGCGUAAAGCCCUAUCGGCAGGGAAGAAGAAGGACGGUACCUGACUAAGAAGCCCCGGCUAACUACGUGCCAGCAGCCGCGGUAAGACGUAGGGGGCAAGCGUUAUCCGGAUUUACUGGGGGUAAAGGGGGCGCAGACGGGAGCGCAAGCCCGGAGUGAAAGCCCCGGGCCCAACCCCGGGACGGCGCUUGGAACUGCGCGGCUGGAGUGCAGGAGGGGCGAGCGGAAUUCCUGGUGUAGCGGUGAAAUGCGUAGAUAUAAGGAGGAACACCGGUGGCGAAGGCGGCCUGCUGGUCUGCGACUGACGUUGAGGCCCGAAAGCGUGGGGAGCAAACAGGAUUAGAUACCCUAGUAGUC
rnacentral:rRNA from 1 species